UCUCUUUGUGGUCAUUUUCUACUGUUUCUUUCUUUCAUAAACUGCCGUUGCUUUCUUUGGUUUGAGACUACGUUUUCUUUCCAUUCACGCCCUUUUAUCUUCGUGCAGUUGGAGAUUAAGAGGUUGUGUGUUGCUAAGAAACCAUGGUUCGGUCGUGCUAGAUCUUUUUGCUCCUGGGACGCAUCGCGUUCGGUUUGGGAGGAUCUCUUUUGCUGGGGGACAUAUCGUUGCCUGCAAAAUUUUGGGUGUUUUUUAACGUAACUCUUUGUAUUUUUCUGUUUUCAUUUUAGAUGCAUGUAUAGAUUUUGUAUUUGAAUUUUUUUCCACAUUUUUAACAUUUUUUUAAAGGUUUGUGGGUUUCGAUUUUGUUUUUUAUUUUGGGGGAUUCAAGUUUUAAAUUUUUUUUUGUAGCUUUGGAAAACAUUUGUGUUUAGCGUUGGAGAGACUAUUUGCAGCUCGAGUGUUUCUGCGGUUAAGUGAAGAUCAUCUGUUGGGUGAGAUCUGGAUUUGAAUUUUUUUUAAAAUUUUUUUUUAUGCAGAAGUUUAUCUGCUCAACCAUGGAAACCAUUGGCCACAAACUACGUUUUAUGUAUUUUUUUUCAUCGUUUCGUCUAUAGUUAAGACUGUUGUUUUAUUCAUAACUUAUUAGUUAAGGUUUGAUUAAAGGGAAAGGGUGUGUGUGUUGUCUCCUCUGUUUUCAAUCUGCUUAUACCGUUCAGAUUUAUUCUUUGAUUUUAUUCUUAAAAUGGAAGUUCUAUUUCGUCUGUGUAUGUGUAUUUAUAGCCAGCUUUUGUUAGUAUUGUCUGUCGAUCUUUAAAUUUUGGUUUUCUUUUUUCAUUUUUUGAUUCCUUUUUUAGAUGGUAUGUUACGGUUUUGAAAAGAACAUGAUAAGUGUUUUUAGUUCAUGAAAAAAAGGUGGUAUAAAUUAGCUGGGUAAUUUGUCAAUGUUUAAAUUUUGGUUUUGUUUUUUUAAUCUUUGGUUGUUUUUUUUAGAGAUUUUGUUAUGUGUUUCAAAAGAAGAUGAAGGGUGUCUUUGAUUCUUCAGAAAAGGGGUAAUGCAGUGAAGUCAGUCAAUUAUUUGGAUAAAUAAACUUCAUGCAUUGCAGUGGGAUAAUUCAAUUUUAUGUUUAUGUGUCUAUGUAUUUAAACUCAAUGUUUAUUACAAUUAUAUUAAAAUGGUUCAAUGUUCUCAAGUUUUCCUAAUAUUAAAAUUGCUUCCUAUUUUUUUGUGGCAAGUUUUUCUAAAUGAUGAACAUGAACAUGUUGCCUGUGAUAAUUUCUGUGGUAAAAAAAAGUAUGGUCUUCGUUAUAUUUUUUAUGUUCAUUGUUUUGUUCUUUUUAAUUGUGAGUGCAAUACAUUUUCAUAAUUUAAGACUAAAUUAACAAAGUUUAUUCGAUCAAUGUUCAUAUAGCUUGUGAAGUAAUUAAAGGACCUUAGUAGUUUAAUUUGCUAUCUGAAUGUUUUUAAUUGCUGAGAAAAAAAUAUUGCACUACAAAUCAUGUUAUUAUGCAAUUCAUGUGUGAAAAUUUGUUCUUUGUUUAACUAUUCGUUUUAACAUUUUAAUAAUAAUUAUUGCUAAAUUUGUAUUUUAUCUCAUGAAGUUAAAUGGAUACCAUAUUUCUAACUCCCAUUCAAGAAUUGCAGCCAUAUAGAAGAGCUGCAAAGAUCAAAGUUCGAAUUUGUAGAAUAUGGAAACCAGACAUUCCAGGAAUGGAUGGAAAAAGUAUGGGACUUCAUUGUAUAUUAGUUCACAACAGGCAAGAUGCAAUUGAAGUCUGCUCAAUAGAAAUGGACCAUGAAGUCUUAGCGUCAAAAGUCCAAGCUGGGAAUUGCUAUGAGAUUACAAAUUUUCGCAUCAAUAGAAGGAAAGGCGAAUACAUAGUGGUGCCAAAUGAUAGCCAAACUGUGUUCACGCACAAAACAGUUUUCAAGAGAAUUACAAAUGAGUUUCCACGCAUUCUUCACCACAGAUUUUUCUUACAAGACUACAAUAUGCUUUAUCCUCGGUUGGAUCGUGUUGAUAUACUGACAGAUGUGGUGGGUCAUGUGAAAGGAAUGCAACACUUAGAACCAAAAUAGGUCAAUGAAAGAGUUGUGCACAAAUGUGACAUCAUGCUUGAAAAUCUGAGGCAGUGUUAUCCUAUACAGCACUGGACAUUACAGAAAUAAACUCAUACAAAUCAGUGUUUUCGAGUUCAGCAUAUUCUCUCAGAAUAUUGCCCUCCUCUUCAAACGAAGUAAAUGAAGUUGAAAUCUUGCAGGCCGCGAAAAAAAUGAUAAUUGAUCAGUUGGGUUUUUUGGAUCCAGAUUUACACAAGGAUGAUACAUUUUUGUGUGAAGCAUCUGUCAAACGCUUUGACACACAUCACAACUAGUGGUAUAGUGUUUGCCCAACCUGUGUCAAGCAAAUGCAUAAGGAUCCAAGUGGAUAGUUAACUUGCCACAAACACCCAAAUCAAAUUCCAACUCCUUGUUAUUUGAACAGAGGAAGAAGAAAAGAAGGAAGAAGUGGGGGAAUGGGG